rnacentral:tmRNA from 1 species
GGGGCUGACAUGGCUUCGACGGGAGCGGGAUGCUUUAGGUUGCAUGCCGGACUGAGCACCUCCGUUAUACGGCUCACACUUGCUUAAACGCAAACAAUACUAAUUACCGUCCUGCUUACGCUGUAGCGUAAGUUUUAAUUUAAUUUAGGACUGCUCUGCCAUUCUAUGCUAUAACUGAAUGGAAUUGGAGUAUAACCCCCGUGAUAGCUAUAUUCCUGGAAUGUCUCGGACAGGAAUGAAUUUAGAGGAUUGGGCGAUGUAGCUUUGCACGUUGUGCGAUAGUCGUCUGAAAUUCAAACAACGUCUCUAAGCAUGUAGACGCCUCUUGUGGCCCGUUUUCGGACUGCGGUUCGAUUCCGCACAGCUCCACCA